rnacentral:rRNA from 1 species
GAUGAACGCUAGCGAUAGGCUUAACACAUGCAAGUCGAGGGGCAGCAUGAUCUUAGCUUGCUAAGGUUGAUGGCGACCGGCGCACGGGUGCGUAACGCGUAUGCAACUUGCCUUACAGAGGGGGAUAACCCGUUGAAAGACGGACUAAAACCGCAUACACUUGUAUUAUUGCAUGAUAUUACAAGGAAAUAUUUAUAGCUGUAAGAUAGGCAUGCGUCCCAUUAGCUGGUUGGUGAGGUAACGGCUCACCAAGGCGACGAUGGGUAGGGGAACUGAGAGGUUUAUCCCCCACACUGGUACUGAGACACGGACCAGACUCCUACGGGAGGCAGCAGUGAGGAAUAUUGGUCAAUGGGCUAGAGCCUGAACCAUCCAAUUCGCGGAAGGAAGACAGUCCUAAGGAUUGUAAACUUCUUUUAUUCGGGAAUAACGGGCGAUACUAGUAUUGCAUUGAAUGUACCGUAAGAAUAAGCAUCUGCUAACUCCCGUGCCCGCACUCGCGGGAAUACUGGAUGAUGCGAGCGUUAUGCGGAUUUUGUGGGUUGAAGGGUGCGUUGUGUUGUUCGGUUGUGUUGUCUGUGAAAUGUUAGAUUUGAUUGUUGUUGUGCUGUGUGAUUUGUGUGGUGUGGGUUGUGUGUGCGGUGUUGUGAUUGUCUGUGUGUGUGUGUAAGGUGAGUGUUGGAUGAUGUGCGAUGUUGGGUGUGGUGUGCGUGUGCGUUGUAUGUGUGUUUGGUGGUGGUUGUGGUCUGAUUGUGUUGUGGGUGUGCCAGUGUGUAUGCUGUGUGAUGUGUGUUGUGCUGCCGUGUGGCGUAGGUGGAAAUAACAUGAAAAAAUGUGUAGUGUGUGAUGUGUGUUGAUGAUAUGGUGUUUUGUGUGUUAUAUUUAUGUGUGAGUGAUAGUACUGUG